rnacentral:lncRNA from 1 species
AUGAAAGUUUUUGUGUAGGUUCCAUAAAGUGGGUAGAACACAAGAAAAAUAGUGGAUUCUGUUUUCUGGUAGUUUACAUGUCUGUAAAAAUUUGCUCUGUUAAUUAGUGAAUACAAAUUCUAGGAAUUUUAAUAAUUUAUUUGUAUGUCCAAAAAUCACCAAAAAUUGUGGGGAGCCUCUGACUAUUAUUCCCUGGCUCCACACAAAAUUUGGUGGCAUUUGGAUAAUGUUUAAUUAAAAUAUUAAUAAAUCCUUAUUUAGUAUUUAAAUAAUAAUUCCAAAAUAAUUAGAUAGUGAUUAGUGAAAUCCUCAUAAUUAGGGUUGAGUGAUUUUGGGGAUUGUGUGAUGACCUGAGGUCAUUAACCCUAAUGACCUUUGGCAUUUAAUUAUUGUUUAGCCUUAAUGCUUAAUUACUGUCAUUAGCAGUUGAUUAAGAAUUAAUUAAGGUAAAUAGGAUUAAUAAUUAGUUAAUUCAGGUUAAUUAUGAAUUAAAAGAGAUUUUAUUUUACAGAUGCAACCUCUUGGGUAAAAACAUUAAGAUGUUAAACAACUUUAUUUAGUGAUAAUUCUGUAUUGCAUCAAGAAGGCGAGUUGUACUCGAUUUGGUCCUUCUUGCAUAUUUGUCAUACG